GUGCUCGCCUCAACAGCACAUAUAUUAAAAUUAGAACAAUGCAGAGAAAAUUAGCAUGGCUCUUGCACAAGGUUGACACACAAAUUCGUGAAGCGUUCCAUAUUUUU
ensembl:snRNA U6 U6 spliceosomal RNA